UAAUACGGAGACUGCGAGCGUUACUCGGAUUUACUGGGCGUAAAGGGUGCGUAGGCGGCAAUGUGUGUCAGGUGUGAAAUCUUGGGGCUUAACCCCAAAUUGCGCUUGAAACUGCAUUGCUAGAGUGUCGGAGGGGCAAGCGGAAUUUCGAGUGUAGCAGUGAAAUGCGUAGAUAUUCGAAGGAACGCCAAUAGCGAAGGCAGCUUGCUGGACGAUUACUGACGCUGAGGCACGAAAGCGCGGGAGCGAAAGGAUUAGAUACCCUUGUAGUCCACGCCGUAAACGUUGUACACUAGAUUUCGGGACAUUCGACCGUUUCGGAAUGCAAGCUAACGCGAUAAGUGUACCGCCUGAGGACUACGGCCGCAAGGCUAAAACUCAAAGGAAUUGACGGGGGCCCGCACAAGCGGUGGAGCAUGUGGCUUAAUUCGAUGCAACGCGAAGAACCUUACCUAGGCUUGACAUACAUUGGACGUACUAUGAAAGUAGUAUUCUCUUAGGAGUC
rnacentral:rRNA from 1 species